UCUUGAUGCUGGGUAACUUGUUCUGACUUCAGAGAGAGACUUGCGCUCACAGCAGUUUCACCGGGUGGCUUGCAAGGACUGUGUAGGAAAGCAGUGGCCCAUUAUUGCUGUGGAAAGAGCCAAAAUCCCAGAGUAAAAGCUCUUCAGAAAACCAGGGAACUGGUUUAGCUCCAUUCCAAGAGACAGGACUCUUAAAAGUGAUAACUACUCUGGUUAUUUCCUCAUACCAGAGAUCAACCAGAGCUUUGACAGGAUCACCUGUCCUGGUUUACAAACUGAUAAUACCAGCAGAGACAGCAAACUACCAGCAGCUAGAAAGCCGCCUUGCCUGUGAGAGUCCGUUAUGAGAAAGGUGUCAUCAAGCAGUCUGAAUCAAGGGAGGCAAGAGGAAUCAAGGUCAACACGGUCCAAGAGUCAAAGAAGCCAGGAAGUCUGAAGUGUGAAAUGCAGGAGUCUGGUAUCAGGAACACGAAUACUGGCCAGGAAACAGACAAGUUGCUUCCAGUACUCACCUUCAGCAAAUUCAGCUCUUUAAUAGCCUGACACCAGCUGGUUCUAAUCAGGGCUUGCUUGUUGUUGCUUGGCCUGCAGCCUAGCUGAGGGUCUUAGUUCUAUCCUUGGUUGUAUUCUUUUGUCCCUCCUCCUUGAUUGAGGACUUAAGAUCUCAGCUGUGUCCUCUGCUUCAUCAGCAGGUGAGUUUUGCCCAUGUACUGCUGGCUGAGGCUGCUGUUCAACAGGAUGAGCUGAUUGAGGCUCUUCAGCAGAGAGAGAUGGCUGAGGAUGCUCUGCAACUGGGAGAGUUAGACUGUUCCCUGUCUGGAAGACCUUGCCUGGGUCCCUUCCUCAGUCUCCUCAUCAGACUCUUCCUCCAGGUCCCAGUCCUGCAGCUCCUGGCCCAUGACAUCACCUGCCAAGGCAGCAGGAAAUUCCUCAAGAGCCGUCAGGAAUCCAUCAGGCAUAUAUUGCCACAGUAUGAUCAUUUAGAGAAGAAUCCCCUUCUUUUCUGGCUCAAGCUUUAUUGGACUGUUUCCUACUGACAUUCUGCUACUAUCUGGCAUGGAAGGCCUGUGUUUUGCCAGCCCUCCCUCAUC